AGAUCUACGUCCCUCCAGGAGAAAGGCUGCUACAACCACCAACCGUUGUCCCAGUGACCUCUGCUGCGCAGUGCCCUCACUGUGUCUGAAAGAUCCAGUGGUGUGAGGCCGCUGUAGUUCUUCUGAUGAAGCACUAUGCAGCCAGUCUUCUGCAGCAGAGCCCAACACACUUCUACUCCACCCCUCUCUGCAGCAACAUGGAGCGCUGUCGCUCCCUGCUGGUCAACUGCAUUCACAACACACCGCUGGACAAGAAAACCAAUAACCCCACCCCCAAAAUUUAUGCCACUGCUUGAAAAUCUGACAUCGUUAAAUUUUUAUGCUAUAUAUUUAUAGUUUAAUGUUUGUUUUAAUUACGUUAAAUUUGCAGCAUCACAGGCUACAGCACAAACAUCAGAGCAAAAAGUUAAAACUGUGUAAAUUUAGAAUAUUUCAUACCUGGUCUUUGAGCAAAUAGCGAAUCAUGUCAAUGUUGCCGGUGGAUGCAGCAAGAUGCAGAGGCGUCACCUUGUACAUAUCCGUGUCAGAGAAUCGGAACACUCCUGUCUCCCACAGAUAGUGCACAGCGACUCUUAGAGAGGUGAGCAACAGUUAGAGCAUACAAAAAAUAAAAAUAAAAACUAUUUGUUCUGAAA